rnacentral:rRNA from 1 species
UGGGGAAUAUUGCGCAAUGGGGGCAACCCUGACGCAGCCAUGCCGCGUGAAUGAAGAAGGCCUUCGGGUUGUAAAGUUCUUUCGGUAGCGAGGAAGGCAUUUAGUUUAAUAAACUAGGUGAUUGACGUUAACUACAGAAGAAGCACCGGCUAACUCCGUGCCAGCAGCCGCGGUAAUACGGAGGGUGCGAGCGUUAAUCGGAAUAACUGGGCGUAAAGGGCACGCAGGCGGUGACUUAAGUGAGGUGUGAAAGCCCCGGGCUUAACCUGGGAAUUGCAUUUCAUACUGGGUCGCUAGAGUACUUUAGGGAGGGGUAGAAUUCCACGUGUAGCGGUGAAAUGCGUAGAGAUGUGGAGGAAUACCGAAGGCGAAGGCAGCCCCUUGGGAAUGUACUGACGCUCAUGUGCGAAAGCGUGGGGAGCAAACAGGAUUAGAUACCCUGGUAGUCCACGCUGUAAACGAUGUCGAUUUGGGGGUUGAACUUUGAGUUUGGCGCCCGUAGCUAACGUGAUAAAUCGACCGCCUGGGGAGUACGGCCGCAAGGUUA